rnacentral:lncRNA from 1 species
GAAAUUUCGUGGGUUUUGGAGAGUGUGAUGGAAGUGAAAUUUGGGUUUGAUGGUUUGAUUUUCGUUUGGCUAAAAUUGGUGAAAAAUUGAAAUUUUUGUGAUGAAUGUUAAGAAGAUGAGAAAGUUAAAUGGAAUUUGGUGAUGUCGGUUGGUAUCACUUCCUUUAAGCUUGAAUUUAAUUUUGUUUUUGAUGAAUGUUUUUGUCUGUUUGAAAACUCGUGCACUGUUUGAAUUGUCUUGUUUGAAUGUCAUUGAAAGUUAUGUAGUUUAGCAUCAUAAUACAUGAAUGUGUGAUUCUCUUGUUUGAUUGCUUGUUAUAUUUGAUGAUAGUUAGAAAAGUUGAGGAAGUUUUUCAAACAUUGACCAAUCGAUAAUUCGGCCUAGCCGCGAGAUUUCGUGCCCAAACACAUAAAUUUUCUUGUCAUGAGAUAUUCCACAACUUAGCUAAUUCUCUAGAACUUGCUUAUGUUCUUUUAAUUGAUUGCUUGCUUUGAAUUACACACCGAGGCAUGUUGUUUGUACCUUGAGCCUUAUUGAAGCCACCAUUUUUUAUGUUAUAUCCUUCGUUAACCCCUUUGAGCCGAAAGAAAAAUGUUUUUGUUGAUAACCCAAGUAAAAAAAAAAUUAUAAAAAAAGAAGAAGAUGAUUUUCUUGGAGUUAGAUCACUUAACUUAUGAUUAGAGCACAUUGUUCAUCAUUAAGUUUGGGGUUGCUUUUGGUAUUUGCAACUGAUUAAGUUUGGGGUGGGGUACUAGAGAAUUUCUCAUAUAAAAAAAAAUAGGGAGAGGCAUUACCUUGUGACAGAUGGUGUAUAAAAAAAAAAAGAAACAAAAACAAAACACCAAAUAAAAAAAAUGCUAAUGAACCUCUCUUCGAAAAAAAAUAUAGUUUGACAAAUAAAUUCUCUAGUAUGAUUAUGCUUGAAUUUUUUUUUUUUUUUUUUGGGGGGGGGG